CCCCAAAUCACUGACCACAGAAGA
rnacentral:piRNA from 1 species